GCCCCAGUAGCUUAGACUACAAGCACCGGUUUUGUAAUCCGGAGAUCGAAGGUUAAACUCCCUCCUGAGGCC
rnacentral:tRNA from 1 species